GCAACUCGACUCCGUGAAGCUGGAUUCGCUAGUAAUCGCGCAUCAGCCAUGGCGCGGUGAAUACGUUCCCGGGCCUUGUACACACCGCCCGUCAAGCCAUGGGAGCCGGGGGUACCUGAAGUCCGUAACCGCGAGGAUCGGCCUAGGGUAAAACUGGUGACUGGGGCUAAGUCGUAACAAGGUACC
rnacentral:rRNA from 1 species